rnacentral:rRNA from 1 species
ACGCACGCUGGCGGCAUGCCUCACACAUGCCAGUCGAACGCGACCUUCGGGUCUAGUGGCGCACGGGUGCGUAACGCGUGGGAACCUGCCCUUAGGUUCGGAAUAACUCCCCGAAAGGGGUGCUAAUACCGGAUAAUGUCUUCGGACCAAAGAUUUAUCGCCUUUGGAUGGGCCCGCGUUGGAUUAGCUAGUUGGUAGGGUAAAAGCCUACCAAGGCGACGAUCCAUAGCUGGUCUGAGAGGAUGAUCAGCCACACUGGGACUGAGACACGGCCCAGACUCCUACGGGAGGCAGCAGUGGGGAAUAUUGGACAAUGGGCGAAAGCCUGAUCCAGCAAUGCCGCGUGAGUGAUGAAGGCCUUAGGGUUGUAAAGCUCUUUUACCCGGGAUGAUAAUGACAGUACCGGGAGAAUAAGCUCCGGCCAACUCCGUG